rnacentral:rRNA from 1 species
GACGAACGCUGGCGGCGUGCCUAAUACAUGCAAGUAGAACGCACAGUUUAUACCGUAGCUUGCUACACCAUAGACUGCGAGUUGCGAACGGGUGAGUAACGCGUAGGUAACCUGCCUGGUAGCGGGGGAUAACUAUUGGAAACGAUAGCUAAUACCGCAUAAUAUUAAUUAUUGCAUGAUAAUUAAUUGAAAGGUGCAAUUGCACCACUACCAGAUGGACCUGCGUUGUAUUAGCUAGUAGGUGAGGUAACGGCUCACCUAGGCGACGAUACAUAGCCGACCUGAGAGGGUGAUCGGCCACACUGGGACUGAGGCACGGCCCAGACUCCUACGGGAGGCAGCAGUAGGGAAUCUUCGGCAAUGGACGAAAGUCUGACCGAGCAACGCCGCGUGAGUGAAGAAGGUUUUCGGAUCGUAAAGCUCUGUUGUAAGAGAAGAACGGGCGUGAGAGUGGAAAGUUCACACUGUGACGGUAUCUUACCAGAAAGGGACGGCUAACUACGUG